rnacentral:rRNA from 1 species
GACGGGGGGGGGCAAGUGUUCUUCGGAAUGACUGGGCGUAAAGGGCGCGCAGGCGGCUCAUUUUGUCAGGCGUGAAAGCCCCGGGCUUAACCUGGGAACUGCGUUUGAUACGGAUGGGCUAGAGUUCGGGAGAGGAGAGUGGAAUUCCCAGUGUAGAGGUGAAAUUCGUAGAUAUUGGGAAGAACACCGGUGGCGAAGGCGGCUCUCUGGACCGAUACUGACGCUGAGGCGCGAAAGCGUGGGGAGCAAACAGG